rnacentral:sRNA from 1 species
CGCCUGCAGGAUGCCCAUGUGUCUGCUGGGUGGUUCUGUGCCUUUGGGCUUUGCCGUUCGUGUCCGUGCCUUCGCCACUGGGGGCUGGUCUACAUUUGCGUUUCCGUACAUGGUCCUUUUUGUUUCUGGAGAGUAAAUUCCUGGAGCAAUUGCUAAGCCUGCCUGCUGUCACCUGGCUGACAGGGAGGCCCGCCCCCUUCUCUCAGCAGCCUGGGGCCCAGGCCCGGGCCACCAUGGCGCUGCCUUCGGGCCCAGCCGCCCUCCGGCACACACUGCUGCUCCUGCCAGCCCUUCUGAGCUCAGGUACACCCCUGUUCAGUCGUUGACCAAGUCCUUCUGGGGUCCAAAGUCCCCUCUCUCCCCUGUCUGCACUUCUGUUUGGGUACCCACUCCAGGCCCCAAGCCCUGGAGUCCCUGUUCCCUUCACCCACCUACCCUAGGUCCAACCAGCCAGUCCCUGGUAAGAGGACUCAGGCGCCCUUUCCCUUGGUCUGCUGCUCCUCUCACUGGGCCAAUUCCGGUCACAGCACAGUACCAGCCCUGCCUGAGCCCUUCCCAGAGCCCCCCUGCUGUGUUCCAGGUUGUGGGGAGUUGGAGCCACAAAUAGAUGGUCAGACCUGGGCUGAGCGGGCACUUCGGGAGAAUGAACGCCACGCCUUCACCUGCCGGGUGGCAGGGGGGCCUGGCACCCCCAGAUUGGCCUGGUAUCUGGAUGGACAGCUGCAGGAGGCCAACACCUCAAGACUGCUGAGCGUGGGAGGGGAGGCCUUCUCUGGAGGCACCAGCACCUUCACAGUCACAGCCCAUCGGGCUCAGCAUGAGCUCAACUGCUCCCUGCAGGACCCCAGCAGUGGCCGAUCAGCCAACGCCUCUGUCAUCCUCAAUGUGCAAUUCAAGCCAGAGAUUGCCCAAGUCGGUGCCAAGUACCAGGAAGCUCAGGGCCCAGGCCUCCUGGUUGUCCUGUUUGCCCUGGUGCGUGCCAACCCGCCUGCCAAUGUCACCUGGAUCGACCAGGAUGGGCCAGUGACUGUCAACACCUCUGACUUCCUGGUGCUGGAUGCGCAGAACUACCCCUGGCUCACCAACCAUACGGUGCAGCUGCAGCUCCGCAGCCUGGCACACAAUCUCUCGGUGGUGGCCACCAAUGACGUGGGUGUCACCAGUGCCUCGCUUCCAGCCCCAGGGCUUCUGGCUACCCGGGUGGAAGUGCCACUGCUGGGCAUUGUUGUGGCUGCUGGGCUUGCCCUGGGCACCCUCGUGGGGUUCAGCACCUUGGUGGCCUG